ensembl:lncRNA
CCCGAUAUGGAUACGAUAGGGGAUUAUCACGCUUCCUGGUUCCGGUGGCGGGAUUUGUCUUCGUUGUGCAUGAACACGUCCGGCGCACUUCCACCAUGGCUGAAACAAAGGCGAGAUGUCACUGCUCUCUGUUCCACUUUGUACAUCUAACAAACAACACCAACCCUACUUAAGUUUUCAUGGAUUCCCGACUGAAAUGAGUCUAAGGAAGAAGUGGAUUCAAGCGGUACGCCGGGAUGAAGGGCCAAACUUUAAAAUAAAACAAGUGGAACAACUGGGGACUGCCAAGAAGGGGGUCUGUUUAUAAAGAGCAUCAACUCGCUUAGGCCAUGACGUUCACCCAUCCCUUCCUCUGGAGCAACCGCUGCCCUGUGAAUAAGAGCCGAUGGAGGAGAUCUCAGCUUCGGUGGUGAUGACAGAACAUGAUUUCGGUUCUGCUCCUAAACCAGGUGCACUGGAUGCUGCUGCUGUAAACAUACAGCAAUUGGAAGAAACAGUCAAGGCGCUGAUGAGAGCUGUCACAGCUGAAAGUGGUUCAAGUGCAUUUUCACAGAUUCUGUGUCUCAGGCGGACAUCCUUUUUUACACCAGAUUCACGUCAAGAGAUGUUUUUUGUGACUUCUGGGAGGUUAUUCAACCAUCUGCCUCCAAGUUGGUUUAUUGGUCGAAAGCUCAGAAAAAGAAACAAACAUUUGAACCCAUUUCUCCCAGUCCAACGUGUAGACUGCAACUGGUUGAGUUUUUUCUCUUCUGCUGCCGGGUUGCUGCAGGCCUGCAAGAGAAGGUGCUGGCUGACAUGUUUCAGGUCAGUGUGUCCACUGUCUCCCAUGUUGUUAUACCGUGGGCCAACUACCGUUACCUGCUCCUUGGCUCCCUCCCCAUCUGGAUGAGUAAACUGCAAGUCAAGAACACCAUGCCAAGAUAAUUUGUGCAGUACAGUCCAGAUGUUCGGACCCAGAGCUGACUGAACGAAGUGGACUGCUGGAUUUACUGGAGCCAGGAGAUGGCUGCAUGGCAGACAAGGGUUUCACCAUCGAGAAGCCACUAGCUGAUCGUGGGGCAACGCUGAUUAUACCACCCUUCAAGAUGACAGUUCACUGAAGAGGAUGCUCUGAAAACACAAGCAAUCGCUCGACUUCGAAUCCUCGUAGAAAGAGCAAUAGGCAGAGUCAAGGAAUACCGCAUCUGGGAACGCACUGUCCUUUCACCUUGUCUGCGACAGUCAAUCAGCUGUGGACCGUCUGCUGUGUGAUGACCAACUUCCAGGGACCACUUGAUUUAAAAGGCUACAUCCCUGUUGAAUAGUGUUUCUACUCAAACAUGUACCUAUAAAUAUUAUAAUAUAUAAAUAUUAAAACGAGAGGCACUGAACAUUUGGAGUGGUCCCUUCAUUUUUUCCGGAGCUGUAAUUUUGUACACUGAAAACAUUGUAUAUAUUGAAUGACAUGUAAUGUAAUUGAAUGAGAAGUCUUUCAUCUAUAAUCAAUUUUAAAGUCCAGUCAGUCCAUCCUGAA